UCCCAAGUAGCUUGGACCACAAGCAGGUAC
rnacentral:piRNA from 1 species